AUUGAACACUGGCGGCAGGCCUAACACAUGCAAGUCGAGCGAGCGGCGGACGGGUGAGUAAUGUAUGGGGACUGCCCGAUAGAGGGGGAUAACUACUGGAAACGGUGGCUAAUACCGCAGACUGUCGGAUAACCCAUAUGGGAUUAGCUAGGAGGUAAGGUAAUGGCUUACCUAGGCGACGAUCCCUAGCUGGUCUGAGAGGAUGAUCAGCCACACUGGAACUGAGACACGGCCCAGACUCCGACGGAGGCAGCAGUGGGGAAUAUUGCACAAUGGGCGCAAGCCUGAUGCAGCAAUGCCGGGUGUAUGAAGAAGGCCCGAGGGUUGUAAAGUACUGUCAGUCGGGAGGCGUUACCGACAGAAGAAGCACCGGCUAACUCCGUGCCAGCAGCCGCGGUAAUAC
rnacentral:rRNA from 1 species